UACGGAGGGGGCUAGCGUUGUUCGGAAUUACUGAGCGUAAAGCGCACGUAGGCGGCUUUGCAAGUUAGAGGUGAAAGCCCGGGGCUCAACUCCGGAAUUGCCUUUAAAACUGCAUCGCUAGAAUUGUGGAGAGGUAAGUGGAAUUCCGAGUGUAGAGGUGAAAUUCGUAGAUAUUCGGAAGAACACCAGUGGCGAAGGCGACUUACUGGACACAUAUUGACGCUGAGGUGCGAAAGCGUGGGGAGCAAACGGG
rnacentral:rRNA from 1 species